rnacentral:rRNA from 1 species
AUUGAACGCUGGCGGCAGGCCUAACACAUGCAAGUCGGACGAGUGGCGGACGGGUGAGUAAUGUCUGGGAAACUGCCUGCUGGAGGGGGAUAACUAAUGGAAAAGGUAGCUAAUACCGCAUACCAUCAGAUGUGCCCAGAUGUGAUUAGCCAGUUGGUGGGGUAACGGUUCACCAAGGCGACGCUCCCUAGUGGGUCUGAGAGGAUGACCAGCCACACUGGAACUGAGACACGGUCCAGACUCCUAAGGGAGGCAGCAGUGGGGAAUAUUGCACAGUGGGCGCAAUCCUGAUGCAGCCAUGCCGCGUGUAUGAAGAAGGCAUUCGGGUUGUAAAGUACUUUCAUCAGGGAGGCGUUACCCGCAGAAGAAGCACCGGCUAACUCCGUGCCAGCAGCCGCGGUAAUUC